rnacentral:rRNA from 1 species
UACGGAGGGGGCUAGCGUUGUUCGGAAUUACUGGGCGUAAAGCGCACGUAGGCGGCUCUGUAAGUUAGAGGUGAAAGCCCGGAGCUCAACUCCGGAAUUGCCUUUAAGACUGCAUCGCUCGAAUCAUGGAGAGGUGAGUGGAAUUCCGAGUGUAGAGGUGAAAUUCGUAGAUAUUCGGAAGAACACCAGUGGCGAAGGCGACUCACUGGACAUGUAUUGACGCUGAGGUGCGAAAGCGUGGGGAGCAAACAGG